GACGAACGCUGGCGGCGUGCCUAAUACAUGCAAGUAGAACGCACAGUUUAUACCGUAGCUUGCUACACCAUAGACUGUGAGUUGCGAACGGGUGAGUAACGCGUAGGUAACCUGCCUGGUAGCGGGGGAUAACUAUUGGAAACGAUAGCUAAUACCGCAUAAUAUUAAUUAUUGCAUGAUAAUUAAUUGAAAGGUGCAAUUGCACCACUACCAGAUGGACCUGCGUUGUAUUAGCUAGUAGGUGAGGUAACGGCUCACCUAGGCGACGAUACAUAGCCGACCUGAGAGGGUGAUCGGCCACACUGGGACUGAGACACGGCCCAGACUCCUACGGGAGGCAGCAGUAGGGAAUCUUCGGCAAUGGACGAAAGUCUGACCGAGCAACGCCGCGUGAGUGAAGAAGGUUUUCGGAUCGUAAAGCUCUGUUGUAAGAGAAGAACGGGUGUGAGAGCGGAAAGUUCACACUGUGACGGUAUCUUACCAGAAAGGGACGGCUAACUACGUG
rnacentral:rRNA from 1 species